rnacentral:rRNA from 1 species
CCUACGGGAGGCAGCAGUGGGGGAUAUUGCACAAUGGGGGAAACCCUGAUCCAGCGACGCCGCGUGAGUGAAGAAGUAUUUCGGUAUGUAAAGCUCUAUCAGCAGGGAAGAAAAUGACGGUACCUGACUAAGAAGCUCCGGCUAACUACGUGCCAGCAGCCGCGGUAAUACGUAGGGGGCAAGCGUUAUCCGGAUUUACUGGGUGUAAAGGGUGCGUAGACGGCGGAACAAGUCAGAAGUGAAAUCCAGGGGCUCAACCCUGGGAGUGCUUUUGAAACUGUUUGGCUUGAGUGGAGGAGAGGUAAGCGGAAUUCCUGGUGUAGCGGUGAAAUGCGUAGAGAUUAGGAGGAACACCAGUGGCGAAGGCGGCUUACUGGGCUUUAACUGACGUUGAGGCACGAAAGCGUGGGGAGCAAACAGGAUUAGAUACCCCUGUAGUC